rnacentral:rRNA from 1 species
CAUGCAGUCGAGCGGGCCCUUCGGGGUCAGCGGCAGACGGGUGAGUAACACGUGGGKWCGUACCCUUUGGUUCGGAAUAACGCUGGGAAACUAGCGCUAAUACCGGAUACGCCCUUUUGGGGAAAGGYUUGYUGCCGAAGGAUCGGCCCGCGUCUGAUUAGCUAGUUGGUGGGGUAAUGGCCUACCAAGGCGACSAUCAGUAGCUGGUCUGAGAGGAUGAUCAGCCACACUGGGACUGAGACACGGCCCAGACUCCUACGGGAGGCAGCAGUGGGGAAUAUUGGACAAKGGGCGCRAGCCUGAUCCAGCCAUGCCGCGUGAGUGAUGAAKGCCUUAGGGUUGUAAAGCUCUUUUGUCCGGGACGAUAAUGACGGUACCGGAAGAAUAAGCCCCGGCUAACUUCGUGCCA